GAUGAACGCUGACAGAAUGCUUAACACAUGCAAGUCAAGCUGUGGCGGCCGGGUGAGCAACGCGUAAAGAACUUGCCUCACAGAUGGGGACAACAUUUGGAAACGAAUGCUAAUCCCUGAUACUGUGAGAGAGCUUUGCGUCACAUUAGCUCGUUGGAGAGGUAACGGCUCACCAAGGCGAGGAUGGGUAGCCGGCCUGAGAGGGUGAUCGGCCACAAGGGGACUGGGACGCGUGCCUUACGCUUACGGGAGGCAGCAGUGGGGAAUAUUGGACAAUAGACCGAAGUCUGAUCCAGCAAUGCGGUGUGCACGAUGAAUUUUUCGGAAGGAAAAUGGCUUUCAGUUGGGAAGCGGUACCAACAGAAGAAGUGACGGCUAAAUACGGGCCAGCCGCCGCGGUAAUAC
rnacentral:rRNA from 1 species